UACGGGGGGAGCAAGCGUUGUUCGGAUUUACCGGGCGUAAAGGGCGCGUAGGCGGCGCAACAAGUCACUUGUGAAAUCUCCGGGCUUAACCCGGAGCGGCCAAGUGAUACUGUCGUGCUAGAGUGCGGAGGGGGCUACUGGAAUUCUCGGUGUAGCGGUGAAAUGCGUAGAUAUCUGGAGGAACACCGGUGGCGAAGGCGGCAUCCUGGACCGAGAUUGACGCUGAGGCGCGAAAGCUAGGGGAGCAAACGGG
rnacentral:rRNA from 1 species